rnacentral:lncRNA from 1 species
UCCAUAUUGUAAAUACAAAUAACAAACCAGCUGCAAACUUUACAUAUACAUACAAUCUGAGAAAUCAUGCCACACAGCAGAUUCAGUCUACAUGCAAACAUAUACAUUCCUAAACUCUACUCUGCAUAAAAAAUGACCAUAAAAGAACUCGAUUUCAUUUUCUUCCCUGAAAAUGACUCAGAAAACGAGCUUCUGCAUUCUAUCCACUUAUAUCAUAUACUCACACGCAAAGGAGAAAAAUUCUAGCAACUUGAAUCCGUUAGAAGCUGCCACACACUUAUACACAGGACGAGUAUUUUACUGUUGGUUGUAGUUGGCAUGAGGAAGUUGCAAAGAUUUCCUGUUGACCUUGCAGUUAUAACCAUUCAAAAUGAGACGCAAGUUGGAAUCAAAUGGAAGCGUAAAAAUGCUGGUAUUAGAUAGAAAAACAGUUCAACUACCUAUUUAACUUUCUAUACAGAUGGAAUUGCAUCCCUGCGCUUAUCAGCAUGGAGAUUAAUAAAAGGGGCAACUAGAUUUAACCUCACAGUAUCCACGGCAUAUGAUGAGAUUAAUCUUCUCUGCAUCAAUCAUCAAGAGAAAAAAGAAAUGAUUAACAUGAGUAGG